CCUACGGGCGGCAGCAGUGAGGAAUAUUGGUCAAUGGGCUUACGCCUGAACCAGCCAAGUCGCGUGAGGGAAGACUGCCCUAUGGGUUGUAAACCUCUUUUGUCAGGGAGCAACGCCGGCUACGUGUAGCCGGACUGAGAGUACCUGAAGAAAAAGCAUCGGCUAACUCCGUGCCAGCAGCCGCGGUAAUACGGGGGAUGCGAGCGUUAUCCGGAUUGAUUGGGGUUAAAGGGUGCGUAGGCGGAAUGCCAAGUCAGCGGUAAAAUCGCGGGGCUCAACCUCGCUCCGCCGUUGAAACUGGCGUUCUUGAGUGGGCGAGAAGUAUGCGGAAUGCGUGGUGUAGCGGUGAAAUGCAUAGAUAUCACGCAGAACUCCGAUUGCGAAGGCAGCAUACCGGCGCCCAACUGACGCUGAAGCACGAAAGCGUGGGUAUCGAACAGGAUUAGAUACCCGGGUAGUC
rnacentral:rRNA from 1 species